AUUGCGCCCCGGCUUGAACGGAGCUCUUUUUGCGGAACAGAGUGGAGCAAAAAAGCGGGAGUGGAAGACGGAAAAGGCG
rnacentral:misc_RNA from 1 species